rnacentral:tRNA from 3 species
GCGGGAGUAGCUCAGUGGUAGAGCAUCAGCUUCCCAAGCUGAGGGUCGCGGGUUCGACCCCCGUUUCCCGCUC